GACUAGUACAGUACUUCCCUGCCAGUCCACUCUCUGUCUAGUACAGUACUACCCUGCCAGUCCACUCUCUAUCCAGUACAGCACUACCCUGCCAGUCCACUCUCUGUCCAGUACAGUACUUCCCUGCCAGUCCACUCUCUCAGUACAGUACUACCCUGCCAGUCCACUCUCUGUCCAGUACAGUACUUCCCUGCCAGUCCACUCUCUGUCUAGUACAGUACUUCCCUGCCAGUCCACUCUCUGUCUAGUACAGCACUACCCUGCCAGUCCACCAGUACAGUACUACCCUGCCAGUCUACUCUCUGUCCAGUACAGUACUUCCCUGCCAGUCCACUCUCUGUCCAGUACAGUACUUCCCUGCCAGUCCACUCUCUGUCCAGUACAGUACUUCCCUGCCAGUCCACUCUCUGUCUAGUACAGUACUACCCUGCCAGUCCACUCUCUGUCCAGUACAGCACUACCCUGCCAGUCCACUCUCUGUCCAGUACAGUACUUCCCUGGCAGUCCACCAGUACAGUACUACCCUGCCAGUCCACUCUCUGUCCAGUACAGUACUUCCCCUGCCAGUCCACUCUCUGUCCAGUCCAGUACUUCCCUACCAGUCCACCAGUACAGUACUUCCCUACCAGUCCACUCUCUGUCCAGUACAGUACUCCCUGCCAGUCCACUCUCUGUCCAGUACAGUACUUCCCUGCCAGUCCACUCUCUGUCUAGUACAGUACUACCCUGCCAGUCCACUCUCUGUCUAGUACAGUACUACCCUACCAGUCCACUCUCUGUCCAGGACAGUACUUCCCUGCCAGUCCACUCUCUGUCUAGUACAGUACUUCCCUGCCAGUCCACCAGUACAAUACUACCCUGCCAGUCCACUCUCUGUCUAGUACAGUACUUCCCUGCCAGUCCACCAGUACAGUACUACCCUGCCAGUCCACUCUCUGUCUAGUACAGUACUACCCUGCCAGUCCACUCUCUGUCCAGUACAGUACUACCCUACCAGUCCACUCUCUGUCUAGUACAGUACUUCCCUACCAGUCCACUCUCUGUCCAGUACAGUACUACCCUGCCAGUCCACUCUCUGUCCAGUACAGUACUACCCUACCAGUCCACUCUUCCACCAGUACAGUACUACCCUACCAGUCCACUCUCUGUCUAGUACAGUACUACCCUACCAGUCCACUCUCUGUCCAGUACAGUACUUCCCUGCCAGUCCACCAGUACAGUACUACCCUGCCAGUCCACUCUCUGUCCAGUACAGUACUUCCCUGCCAGUCCACCAGUACAGUACUACCCUGCCAGUCCACUCUCUGUCUAGUACAGUACUACCCUACCAGUCCACUCUCUGUCCAGUACAGUACUUCCCUGCCAGUCCACCAGUACAGUACUACCCUACCAGUCCACUCUCUGUCCAGUACAGUACUUCCCUGCCAGUCCACCAGUACAGUACUACCCUACCAGUCCACUCUCUGUCCAGUACAGUACUUCCCUGCCAGUCCACCAGUACAGUACUACCCUACCAGUCCACUCUCUGUCCAGUACAGUACUACCUUGCCAGUCCACUCUCUGUCCAGUACAGUACUUCCCUGCCAGUCCACCAGUACAGCACUACCCUGCCAGUCCACUCUCUGACUAGUACAGUACUUCCCUGCCAGUCCACUCUCUGUCUAGUACAGUACUACCCUGCCAGUCCACUCUCUAUCCAGUACAGCACUACCCUGCCAGUCCACUCUCUGUCCAGUACAGUACUACCCUGCCAGUCCACUCUCUGUCCAGUACAGUACUUCCCUGCCAGUCCACUCUCUGUCCAGUACAGUACUUCCCUGGCAGUCCACUCUCUGUCCAGUACAGUACUUCCCUGGCAGUCCACUCUCUGUCCAGUACAGUACUUCCCUGGCAGUCCACUCUCUGUCC
rnacentral:lncRNA from 1 species